UCAAGAAUGUUGUAUGACUUGUA
rnacentral:siRNA from 1 species